AACGAACGCUGGCGGCAUGCCUAACACAUGCAAGUCGAACGAAGCCUUCGGGCUUAGUGGCGAACGGGUGAGUAACGCGUGGGAACCUGCCCCCGAGUGGGGAACAACCGCUGGAAACGGCGGCUAAUACCGCAUACGCCUCUUCGGAGGGAAAGCUUUAUGCGCUCAGGGAGGGUCCCGCGUCCGAUUAGCUAGUUGGAGGGGUAACGGCCCACCAAGGCGACGAUCGGUAGCUGGUCUGAGAGGAUGAUCAGCCACACUGGGACUGAGACACGGCCCAG
rnacentral:rRNA from 1 species